rnacentral:rRNA from 1 species
UACAGAGGUCCCAAGCGUUGUUCGGAUUCACUGGGCGUAAAGGGUGCGUAGGCGGUCGGGUAAGUCUGAUGUGAAAUCUCACAGCUUAACUGUGAAACUGCAUUGGAUACUAUCCGACUCGAGGAAUGGAGGGGAGACUGGAAUACUUGGUGUAGCAGUGAAAUGCGUAGAUAUCAAGUGGAACACCAGUGGCGAAGGCGAGUCUCUGGACAUUUCCUGACGCUGAGGCACGAAAGCCAGGGGAGCAAACGGG